rnacentral:rRNA from 1 species
AUUGAACGCUGGCGGCAGGCCUAACACAUGCAAGUCGAGCGGAUGAAGGGAGCUUGCUCCUGGAUUCAGCGGCGGACGGGUGAGUAAUGCCUAGGAAUCUGCCUGGUAGUGGGGGAUAACGUCCGGAAACGGGCGCUAAUACCGCAUACGUCCUGAGGGAGAAAGUGUGGGAUCUUCGGACCUCACGCUAUCAGAUGAGCCUAGGUCGGAUUAGCUAGUUGGUGGGGUAAAGGCCUACCAAGGCGACGAUCCGUAACUGGUCUGAGAGGAUGAUCAGUCACACUGGAACUGAGACACGGUCCAGACUCCUACGGGAGGCAGCAGUGGGGAAUAUUGGACAAUGGGCGAAAGCCUGAUCCAGCCAUGCCGCGUGUGUGAAGAAGGUCUUCGGAUUGUAAAGCACUUUAAGUUGGGAGGAAGGGCAGUAAGUUAAUACCUUGCUGUUUUGACGUUACCAACAGAAUAAGCACCGGCUAACUUCGU